GAAGGAGACAUUAAUACUCACCAAUCAUUCAAUUUGUUACGAUUUGCUAGCACCAGUUUGAAGCCCACACAGAAUUUUGCUUUAAUUCUUCAUGAUAUAUAUUUUAAAAGUAAACAAUAUCAAGACGAGCUGAAAAAAACAAGAAAUGAACUGGAAGAAUACAAGAAGAACAGUCAAGCAAGUGAAAAUCGAUACAAAGAGCAGCUGGAACGAAAUAGAGAUGAACUCAAGCAGUGCAAGGCAAAUUUUCACUAUCAACUCCAAGCAUGUGAAUAUCAAUACAAACAGCAGCUGAAAAAAAUAAGUGAAUAUCAAUAUACAGAGGAUCUGAAACUAUACAAAGAGGAGCUGAAACGAAAAAGUCAGGAACUGGAACACUACAA